rnacentral:Y_RNA from 1 species
GGUUGGUCCAAUAGUAGUGGGUUAUCAGAACUUAUUAACAUUAGUGUCACUAAAGUUGGUAUACAGCCCCCAUUGUUAAAUUUGACUGGCUUUUA